UACAGAGGGGGCAAGCGUUGUUCGGAAUUACUGGGCGUAAAGGGCGCGUAGGCGGCCUUCUAAGUCGAACGUGAAAUCCCCGGGCUCAACCCGGGAACUGCGUCCGAUACUGGAAGGCUUGAAUCCGGGAGAGGGAUGCGGAAUUCCAGGUGUAGCGGUGAAAUGCGUAGAUAUCUGGAGGAACACCGGUGGCGAAGGCGGCAUCCUGGACCAACAUUGACGCUGAGGAGCGAAAGCCAGGGGAGCAAACGGG
rnacentral:rRNA from 1 species